CUUCCGUUCCCUGGAGGGACCAUUGCUGCUUCUGCCACACUUCCCAGAAUCCUCCUAGAGAUGCACUCUGGGAAUUGUAGUUCAGUUCCCAGGCAUGCUGCUGUGUUCUCCAGCUGCAAGUUAACCAUGAUUGUCAAAAGCAUGAACAUCUAAGAUCUUAUUACCAAGAGAACUACUGUAUCCUUGGAGAAAGUAGAGGAAGCGCAUUCCAUUUGACUGGAAG
rnacentral:lncRNA from 1 species